rnacentral:lncRNA from 1 species
AAUAAUCAAAUAUAGUUGAUUAAAUAGACAUGGUAACAAUUGUAUGUUUUUUUAAGAAAAGGAAUAGCUUGCUACCGCUUCAUUUAAUAAGAGAAUAAAUUGACCUACAAAGUGAGACAGCUGAGGUCUUAAUCGAACGAAAAAAAAAACUAUACAUAAAAAGAAUCCCAAAGGGCACGAAGCGAUCUAGCGUUCGCUAGGAACUGUUUCGGAGUGAUCUUUUUAUUUUUGAAGAUUUUAGUGUUAUACUUUAACUAGAUAGUCCACCGUGAAGAAGCAAUUGUCAAUAAUUCCCUCCGUCCGCCUUUGGAGUUUGUUACGGCCCAAAAACUAUUCAUUGAAGAGCUAAUGUGUAAAAAAACUCUUAUUCGGUAGCUGAUCCUCCAAUAUAAAUUUGACUGUAUCGUACUUCACAAAAAAGUGGUCUGUCGUCUCAAGCUUCACCCUAUAGAAAACGUAGUCCAUAACAAUUGUAUUAUUAAUCACAUCAAUAUUAUAUUACUUAUACAUAAAAAAAGUAAAUUGAUAAUUAAUUAAUUAAAUUAAAUUAUAAAAUUUAAUAAUAAUAAUAAUAAUUAAAAAAUCAAAAUAAAAAUUAUAAUAAAUUAAUAUUUA